UCGAAAUUAGAAACAGAAUUGCUAGAACCAAAGAGUAAGAUACUUUCAAGGAUGUAUAACUUGCUGUUGGAAUGGAAUACACAAGAUGAAAUGGUUAAAUCGGCUAUGAUAAGGUGGGCACAGGAUAUUGGGCAUAAUAUUAUGUUUGAGGACUGGGAAAGGUUGUGGAGUAAUGGAUUGAAAUUUACUGCAUGUAAUGCUUUGAAAGAAAAUGUAAUGAAAAUGAUUUAUAGAUGGUAUAUGACCCCAGUCAAACUCGCAAAAAUUUACCACCUGUCUGAUAACAAGUGCUGGAAAUGUAAAGAGUGUGAAGGAACGUUCUUUCACCUCUGGUGGACCUGCCCUAAAGUGAAGGCGUUCUGGGAAAUGAUCUAUAAUGAACUGAAAAAGGUAUUUAAAUAUACUUUCACUAAGAAACCAGAGGCUUUCCUUUUGGGUAUUGUCGGCCAAGGGGUGGCAAAGAAGGACCAGACAUUUUUUAUGUAUGCAACAACAGCAGCAAGGAUACUACUCGCAAAACAUUGGAAAACUCAAGAUCUACCCACACUGGAAGAAUGGCAGAUGCAACUGAUAGACUAUAUGCAACUGGCUGAAAUGACUGGCAGAAUCCGUGACCUGGGAGAAGAGAGAAUCGAGGAGGAUUGGAAGAAAUUUAAGAACUACCUACAAAAACAUUGUGAUUUGACUGAAUGCUGAAUAAGAUGCUAGACUAAAUAACUGAGCACCACUUAACUUAGAAGUUUUUAAGAAAAUAAGAAAAACUGUGAAAGUUUAACUCUUUAUGAGAACUAUAAGAUUAUGAAAUAUCGAAGAGAUAUAAGAAUUUAAAUAAGAUGAUAAAUUGCUGACAAAAUGUUAUAAUGAUGAAGGUGGGAGCGGGAGGUGUGAGGAAGUCCAAAGAAAAUGUGAAAUUAUGUUAAAACGAAUGUUAUAUUGUUUAUUACAUUUAUUCCUAUUGUAAAAUCCAAUAAAUUGCUUU